UUUUUAAUUAAUACACAAUUAAUAGAAAAGCACUUCUCUUCAAGAAAGCUGAAUCAAACUAAGCUGCUCGAGCAGCUUGAACAUUUAGAAUUUUCCUACAGCC